UGACACAAGGCAUCAUGCAUCGGCGAUCAGCACUCUAUGCAACAGAGGGUGGAAAUUAUCAAAAGCCGGUAUCAAACAUAGUGGAAAGGAAAUGCUUUGAGUGUGGUGAACCAGGACAUUUGAGGUCUUCAUGCCCUGAAUUAAUGGGAGCAGGUAGAGGAAGAGGGCAGGACUGGCGGGGAAGAGGGCGUGGUCGUGGGUUUGAAGGACGAGGUGGCCGCGGGCGAGGAACACGCCCUACUGGUAGAGCGAACACAUCUCUAAUCUCUGAAAAUACCACUCAAACCAUGAGCGUUCACAUGACUGCUGAGGAUUGGGAGAAGUGGUGUCAAUUCAAGGAGCUACAUUUAGGUGACAAGUCAACCGCUGAAGCACCUGCAACAUCUGCCUCUACGGCCUCUGCAAAUUUCGGUGGAACUUGGGACUGGAAGAAGACUUGGGACAGGGAGCAUGCAUGAUGGGUUGUAUUAUCUGGAUAAUAAUAUGUCUCCUGCGGUAGUAGCAGCUGCUAUACCUCUUUCACCACUUGAAGAAUUUCUUCUCCACCACCGCAGGCUAGGACAUAUGUCUUUUGUCACUCUCGGUCAACUUUAUCCUGAUCUCUAUAAGAAAGUUAGCAAGGGGUGUCUAGUAUGUGAUGCUUGUCAAUAUGGCAAACAGACACGUAGCUCUUACACAUCAUCUGAUAAUAGAAGUGACACACCACUUCAAGUUAUACAUUCUGAUGUGUGGGGUCCUAGUGGUGUUUCAUCUUUAAAUGGUUAUCGGUCGUUUGUUACCUUUAUUGACUGUUGUACUAGAGUCACUUGGGUUUA